rnacentral:lncRNA from 1 species
GAAAAAAGCAAAAGUUCAGGGGUGGAAGAAUUUUCCUUUGAUCCAGGGAAAAGCGAAUGUUAAACUAAUUGUUUAAGAAUUUCCCGUCGAUCCCUUAGUCUUGUAAUCGCUACUUUAUAAACGGUCCCUAGAAGGGGCAGCGUCUUCCCGGAAAUUUUGACUGCAGCUGUUUUGUCUUUGCAGUGUCUCCCAGGCUCCUACAGCAGGAGGUUCCUGAGUGAAGGUUGUGGUUCCCAGUGACUCAUCUGCUCCGGAGACUCUAGAUAAGGACAUGAGUUUCACUUUUUUUCAGCAUUCUCUGUGCACCAGGCCCACACCAACUAUGAGAAUGCCAUCAGCCAGGGCCACUAGGCUUUCCUAUUGGAGGUGGACAAGUGUGCCAGGGAUGUCUUCAGUUGCAAUGUGGGGAACCUCCACCCUGGAUCCAAGGUGGCACUCACCCUGAAGUAUGUGCAGGAACUGCCCCUGGAAGCACAUGGGACCCUGUGCUAAUUGCUCCCAGCUAUCCUGAAUCCUCGAUACUGUCUCUCUGGUGAGUAUCCUCUCCCUUUGAAUACUAGUGGUCGGUAACAUAAUUGCGAAAAUCUCCUCAAGUUUGUAGAGUUCUAAGAAGUAUUGGAAGGGGAAACAGAACUAAGGGAACUUUUUGUAGGAUGGUCCGAGAACAGUUACCUUAAUAGGAAGACUCCUGUAGUCCCUUUCGAGGACCUGCCUUACACACUCAGUGUGGUUGCCACCAUCAGUUCCCAGCAUGGCAUUGAGAGAAUCCAAUCCAACUUCCCCUUGAGUCCCAUUGAAUACUGUGGAAAUGAUAAGAUUUCUGCUCAGGUAAUUAAUAAGAGAGCACUAUUGUUGCCGGCACCCUUAUUCUCUUCCUGACUUUGUCCCUCACUCCAUCUUUCCUAAAUGUUCCCUACUUUUCCCUAUCAGUCCAGAGGGAAUCGUGGUGUGCUCCUUCUUUAUCCCUGUUUAAUCUCCAGUGCCUUCUCUCCAUUCCUGCCCCUGCUCCUGACCAUGAUCACUCAUGGAAGAAGCCUGUAGCCCUCAGCUCUGACCUCAGCCCCAGGCAGCAAGCAGUGAUAAUUCUAACAUGGCUCCUUUGCCUGUUCCCUGCUCAGGUUUCCUUGGCUGAUGGACACAAAUUUGAUGAAUAUGUGGAGCUCCUGAUUUACUAGAGUGAAGUGCAUACUACAGUGUAGCUGUGGAGAUGGGGAAACCUGAAAAAAAGGCAGGUACUUUCUUUCUCCCUUUAUAGUUACCUCCUAAGGGGCAACUCCUGUCUUGGAAUUACCCUCAGAUUACCCUCACUUUUCUUUUUUUCUAUCCAGUAGUGGGCAAGAUAUUGAAAUAACUUCACUAUGGCAUGCAAAAAUGGUUAGGUUCAAUGAAUAUCAUGUUGUUCGUCUUCAAGGCAAAUUUAAGUGCAUCAGUAGAUAAUUGGGCACAGGACUUGAACAAAUAAUUUAGAAGAGAAGAAAUAGUUUACCAACAAAUGUGACUAUGAUCAGUCUCCACAAGUGCAAAUCAAAAUAAAAUAAAAUAAAAAUAAUGAUGUGACA